GCACGGACUGUUCUUGAGCAUGAAGGAGGCAGCCCUGAAGAUCCACCAGCUCUCCUGAACCCCUCUUCUCUCCAGGGUCACCUCCCAGGUGAUUCUUCCAAGCAGAUUCCUGAACAGGAAGUCCAGGGUUGUGAUCUUGCUAUUUGCCUCAUUCCUUCUUUGUUUCUGACCUUCGCAUCCCUGAUCAGCUCUUCUUUCAGACACCAGGAUGACUGAAGUCUUCCACAAGGACCUGGGCCUGUAUACAUGAGGCUUCUUCCAGUUGUCUGAAAAAGGUUUUAACUGUCAUUUGCUGGGACUUUGACAUACUUUCCAAAAGAUGGUGUUAUCUAUAUAAACAUACAAAAAAGGAUUGUUCCAA